rnacentral:lncRNA from 1 species
AUAUAGGACUUCUCCUUUUCUACCAAGAUUGAUAAAUUUCAUCUAGGAACAUCCUACUCCAAACAGCAAAUCUAGACCUAUUGAAGCUAACAUACACAAUAAGGAUCCGAAUGGCUAGGGACCAAGAGAAUAUAUAGUCAAACCCAGUAGUCUCGCUGCGAAUAGCCAAUGGCACCGCAGAUCAAAGGAUCACUCACACCACUGC